GCUUUUCUGUAGCUCAGUUGGUAGAGUAUUGCGAAAACAACGAGAAGGUCAUGGGUUCAGAUCCCAGGGAAAGCA